rnacentral:rRNA from 1 species
GUUUUUUUAGAAAUAAAUUUAAUUUAAAAAUUUUUAAUUUAUUAAUUAUUUAUAUUAAUUAAUAAAUUUAUAAAUUUAAAUAUUUUAAGGGAUAAGCUUUAAAAUAAAUUUUUAUAAAUUAAUAAAAUAAUAAUUUAAAUUAUAUGCAUAGAAUUAGUAAUUAUUAAAAAUUUUGUUAUAAAUUAUUUUAUAUAAAUUAUAUUAUUUAUUUUAAUUUUAAAUUUUUAUAAAAAUAUUUUUUUUAAUUUUAUUUAAAAAAUAAUAAUGAUAAAAUUAGUAUAUAUAUAUAUAUGUAAAAGUAAUUUUAUUUGAUAAGUUUAUAUAAAGAAUUCGGCAAAUAUUUUACUCGCCUGUUUAACAAAAACAUGUCUUUUUGAGUUAUUUAUAAAGUCUAACCUGCCCAAUGAAUAAAAUUUUAAAUGGCCGCAGUAUUUUAACUGUGCAAAGGUAGCAUAAUCAUUACUCUUUUAAUUAG